CCCAGUUCAAUCCCCAGCACCACCAUAAACCAGUCUUGAGCAGUGCUCUAGUAAAAUGAAAAACAUGUGGAAGUCUUCAUUUAUCUCUGGGAAUUUGGUUUUGGAGGACAAUGGGCUAAUAAUAGGAGAGGACUGAAGAAAACUUUGUAAAUAUUGGGGCUCAUGCUUGGUUAUACUUUUGCUAUUUUUGGAAGACUUAGAGUCUCCACUUAAAGUCAAUUCAUGUUACUUACCUCCAUGCUUUGAAUUUUGCUUUCUGUUUGCUGCCCUCUUGAUCUUGACUUUACUUUGUGUCUAAAGUACACUUUUUCAUUUAUUGGAUAGAGACAGAAAUUGAAGGGAAGAGAGAAAUAGGGAGAGAAAGAAACCUAUAGCACUGCUUCACUGCUUGUUAAGCUUCCUCCAUGCAGGUGGGGAUUAGACCUAAGUACUUACACUAAAAAGGAGACACCACAGCAUCCAAAAUUGCUUUGGUGCCAUAACACCUCCCAUGUGGUACCAGAACUCAAACCUGGGUCACACACAUGGCAAGACAUGAGUGUAGAGGGCAUGAGUGUAGUCAUUUCAUUGUUCCCAAGAAGUUUUAUUGUGUUUCACGCUAUAAAUGAGUAUAUAUGGGAGACUACUAUAUAAGUCUUUGGACCAGUAUUUCUAUUUUUUUUUUUUUCUCCAGGGUUAUUGCUGGGGCUCAGAGCCAACAAAUCCAUUGCUCCUGGUGGCCACCUCCACCCCACCCCCACGUUUUACUGGACAGGACAGAGAAAUUGAGAGGGGAGGAGAAGAGAGGGAGAAAGACACCUGCAGACCUGUUUCACCACUUGUGAAGCGAUCCCCUUGCAGAGUGAAUAAUCUUUAACAGCUGGGAAGAGCCCAGGACAGUCUUAUGAGCACACCAGUGAUGCAGAAUCUGCAGUCAGAGCCCAGUGGUUCUCAGGCAUGCGCAGGUACUAACAAAGCAGUGUGUAACUUUGCAGAACACAUAAUGAAAAAGACAAAGCUCUGAUAUACAAUUUAGCUCUGUAUUGUAGUUAUGUUUCUGUAAUGGAGCAGUUAGAGUUGGUCAGAUUAUUGAAGUCCUACAAUGAACAACAAAGCUAAAAAAGAAAAGAAAAGAAGGCUGGGGAGACAGUAUAGUGGUUCUGCAAAUGACUUUCAUAGCUGAGCCUCUUGAGCUCUCAGAAUUCAAUCCCCAGCACUAACAUAAGCCUGAGCUGAGCAGUGCUGUGGGAGGAAAAAGAAAACACAAAGCAGGGGCCAGGUGGCGGCGCGUAUGGUUGAGUACAUACAUUACAGUGCACAAGGACUGGGGCUCGAAGUCCCCGUCCUCACCUGUAGGGGAUACUUUAUGAUUGGCGAAGCAGUGUUGCAGGUGUCUCCCUCCCAUUUUCUAAUCUUGUUGUCUCUAUCCAAAAAUAAAUAAAAAGAUUAAUCAAAGUAUUAUAUAUAAAAAAGAAUGUAAAUCAAA